UGCAGUCGAACGAGAAGCUUCUUUCGGGAAGUGGAGAGUGGCGCACGGGUGAGUAACGCGUGGGAAUUUACCCUCUGGUACGGGAUAACGUUUGGAAACGAACGCUAAUACGGUAUGAGCUCUACGGAGCAAAGAUUUAUCGCCAGAGGAUGAGCCCGCGUAGGAUUAGAUAGUUGGUGGGGUAACGGCCUACCAAGUCAACGAUCUUUAGCUGUUCUGAGAGGAAGAUCAGCCACACUGGAACUGAGACACGGUCCAGACUCCUACGGGAGGCAGCAGUGGGGAAUAUUGGACAAUGGGGGCAACCCUGAUCCAGCCAUGCCGCGUGAGUGAAGAAGGCCUUAGGGUUGUAAAGCUCUUUCGCUAGGGAAGAUAAUGACGGUACCUAGUAAAGAAGUCCCGGCUAACUCCGUGCCAGCAGCCGCGGUAAUACGAAUGGGGCAAGCGUUGUUCGGAAUCACUGGGCUUAAAGCGUGCGCAGGCGGACUUGAAAGUCAGAAGUGAAAUCCCAGGGCUCAACCCUGGAACUGCUUUUGAAACUCCAAGUCUAGAAUCCGGUAGAGGUCAGGGGAAUUCCUAGUGUAGAGGUGAAAUUCGCAGAUAUUAGGAGGAACACCAGUGGCGUAGG
rnacentral:rRNA from 1 species